CCGCCGCUGGAACUGCCCGCAGCUGGAACAAUCCGCAGCUGGAACAACCCACCGCUGCAAAAAUCCUCCUCUGCGACUGCUUCAUCCGUCGUGAGAGGUGCUGCUUAAGUGUACUUCUGAUAACGCUUGUAUUUGACUUUUGAAUCAUGCCUGGGUGUUUGGUUUUGUCUUUUCAGGAGCAAAACGUUUUGUUAAAUAGAAAAAGGGAUAAUACAAACGAGCAGUCACGUGUGUUUUGUUAAUUAGAAAAAGGAAUAAUGCAAACGAGCAGUUACUUUGGUCGACUCGUCUGUGCUGUGCCGCGGAAGGCAGUUCUCUCUGCAGGGGAACCUGUGACCUGAGGAAGCUGAGGCAGCAACAAUAUUAGAAGAAACUGAUCUGAGGGAAGGCAGUUGAUGGUGGAAAUUACUAUCCUGGAGGGGCUGCCAAGAUAGAACUAAGGUAUUAAGAAGAAACUACUCCAGGCAAGGAGACAAUUAACACUACAGAAGGAGAAGCUUAGGCUGCCAGCGUUGGGGCACAUGCUUACCUGGGCUGCUCUGCCAAGACAAAAGAAGGUGAUGAUAGAAGCCUGGAGAUCAUUAACCAAGUGCAUUACAUGAGGAAAGGAGGAGAAAAAAACACUAUAGGCACUGCCAAAUGUUGUGAGAAGGGAACAUUAUUUUGUGGUUGGAUUUCAUCAUGUGCAAAGCACUUGCAGGCAGAGGACAUAAAGAAGAGGGAAAGCCAGCAACCAUGCUGUCAACUUUGCAAGUCAUUAACAAUCUGGAAAGAGACUGAAACAUACUGUCAACCUAAGCAGAACAUCUCAGAGAGGCACAGAGAUGGAACAAAAUGGAAAGAUUUUGGGUGCAACUCCCCAUUCCUCCCCUCUGAGAAGCACUGGGCCCUGGCAGCCCAAAGAACUGAGUUAUGAACUGAAAUUAAAGGCACAAGGCUGGAAGGAGGCAAGUAAUGUGACUGCAGGGUUUGAAGGCACAUGCUGAGACACAGAAAUGGACAGAGAAAUAUUCUGAGGUGAACCUCUUCUGAUCCUGAAGUGAAGGUACAGCACUAAUUGAGUGUAACUGUCAUGAACUAGGAGAACAUGGAAAUCUGUCCCUUUGUUUUGCUGCCUUCCUUCAUGUUGGUGUCAUCACUCUGGCAGCCUGGUUAAAGUUUCCCAGAGGAAACAAAAUGAGAACAAAGACAAAUUUCUAAACUGAUUAUGAACCUGGAGCUGUACACUUUGCAAAUGAGCUUUUCCAGGUGAGAGACCUAGCAAAAUACACAAUUAAGAUUUUUUUCUUAUCCGCUCUUCCCACCAUUAUUUGUCUAGGAAUGCUGGGGCUGGCCAGAAUUGGAUGGAUUGCUGCUUUCCUCCUACAUCACUUUUUGGUAGCAGUUUGAAGUCCACAAUCACACUGUGCCAGAACAACAAAUCCUUCAAGGAUGACAUUUCCAAAAGUACCUUUCUUCCAAGAAUCUCUGACUGCUUUUCAACAUGGAUUACCAGCCCAUCUCUUGGUGAUAAGUAGGUGUUAUUUCCAUCUUCAAACUGAGAAACUCAAACUGCUGCCUAAAGUAACUGUGAAUCAUCUACUUCCUGGAGCUUUCUUUGCCUUGUUUUCCCAUACCCUUUCCCUUUUGUCUCCUGGGCCAUUCUUAACUUAAAUUUCCUCUCCUCUCUGUCUAUAAUAAUCCCCUCGAUGCAAUCUAAUGUUCUACCCAAACUUUAAAACUCACCUAUUUUCCACCCCCCACCCUUGCCCGUAUGCAGCCUGGGCAUGCCUAUGUGCUGUGCAUAAGUGCUCUCCUGAUUCAGGCAGUAGCUUCAAUUGAGCCUUUCAAAGAGCUGUAUUUAUGUAGAUAGGUUUAAAUUGUUAUUUCCACCCUGUAUGUGCAUGUGUGGGUGGGGAGGAUUAGUCUGCAGACAAGUUAAAGAGCACAGGUGUCUCAGGUGCCUCUGAUGUGGAGCACUGAACUGGAGAGAAGCAGUUUUGCAAAGAUUCUCAGCACUUACUGCUCCCCCCACUCGGAAAGUUCAGACCACUUGGGUGAAUCAGAGCUCUCACUACCUGGUGCUGAGUAAGACACUGGGCAGCAUAGCAGCAUAUUGCCUGGUGUCUGCUUCCAGUCUAAAUAAACAAGUGCUUUCCUCCAGAAGGGUGUUUUGUUCAAGAUAAGGGUAACUGGUUUCACUUCCAGUAUUCACUGUACAUCUCUGAAUUAAACUGUUGUUACACUGACCUUAGUUUCUGUUUCUUAACAUUAAUUUUUUUUUUUAAUGGGAAAUAGAAAGUUGGCAAUCUGUUUCCACUGGAUACUCCCCUGCAACUGGAAAAGAGAAACUCAGGGGAGGUUUUUCAUAAUCUUUUCUUAACCUGUAUAAUUUCCCUUUUUUGCCACUUCUGUGAAAAAAAUCAACAAUCUCCCUCUGUAUCUGUCUCAGAGCACUUCUUCAAAACAUGUUUACUAUGAGGCUAAGAAAUUGAUUUGG